rnacentral:lncRNA from 10 species
UGAAACUAACAUGGGAAGAAAAUAUAUUUUCCCUCUACAAUAGAAGUGACCACAUUCCUUAAGGAAACUGAGGGCAUUAUUGAGGAAGAAUAUAACUCUGUGGACUUCAUUGAACAGAAGGAAGACAUGUGAUACGGUUUGGAUCUGUGUCCCCACCCAAAUCCCAUGUCAAAUUAUAAUUCUCAAUGUUGGAGGAGGGGCCUGGUGGGAGGUGACUGAAUCAUGAAAGCAGACUUCCCCCUUGCUGUUCUCAAGAUACUGAAUGAGUUUUCACGAGAUCUGGUUGUUUAAAAGUGUGUAGCACAUCCCUCUCCCCUCUAUUUCUCCUGCUCCAGGCAUGAAGGAUAUGCCUGCUUCCCCUUUACCUUCUGACACGAUUGUAAGUUUCCUGAGGUCUCCUCUGCCAUGCUUCCUGUACAGCCUGUGGAAUCAUUAGCCAAUUAAAC